rnacentral:rRNA from 1 species
GGGUACAACCAUGCCAGGCCGAAUGCGCCAUAUCCCGUCCGAUUUGUGAAGUCAAGCGGCCACAGGGCCAUUCAGUACGGUGGUGAGUGCUGGCGCUGGAACCCGGGGCGCCGUACCCU